UGGGCGCAAGCCUGAUCCAGCAAUGCCGCGUGCAGGAUGAAGGCCUUCGGGUUGUAAACUGCUUUUGUACGGAACGAAAAGCUUCGGGCUAAUACCCUGAAGUCAUGACGGUACCGUAAGAAUAAGCACCGGCUAACUACGUGCCAGCAGCCGCGGUAAUACGUAGGGUGCAAGCGUUAAUCGGAAUUACUGGGCGUAAAGCGUGCGCAGGCGGUUUUGUAAGACAGAGGUGAAAUCCCCGGGCUCAACCUGGGAACUGCCUUUGUGACUGCAAGGCUAGAGUACGGCAGAGGGGGAUGGAAUUCCGCGUGUAGCAGUGAAAUGCGUAGAUAUGCGGAGGAACACCGAUGGCGAAGGCAAUCCCCUGGGCCUGUACUGACGCUCAUGCACGAAAGCGUGGGGAGCAAACAGGAUUAGAUACCCUGGUAGUCCACGCCCUAAACGAUGUCAACUGGUUGUUGGGUCUUAACUGACUCAGUAACGAAGCUAACGCGUGAAGUUGACCGCCUGGGGAGUACGGCCG
rnacentral:rRNA from 1 species